UUGAGUCGACCCAAGGAAAGCAUGAGUCGACCCAAACAUCAAGCUUCUCAAUAACUCAGAAAUUAGUUCUCUGGAAAUACUGAGAGGGUCGACCCAAGAUAAAGUUGAGUCGACCCAAGCUUGAGUCGACCCAAGUGAAGGAAGGCUAAAUUGCAAGUUUCUGUGUUUCUGAGAGGGUCGACCCAAGGAAUGUUUGAGUC
rnacentral:lncRNA from 1 species